UGCUACAUUUAACUGCUCCUUUCUAAAAUUAGAAUAAUACAGAGUUAGCAUGGCACCUGGGUAAGGAUCACAUGCAACCUGGUGAAACAUUCCACAUUUUU
ensembl:snRNA U6 U6 spliceosomal RNA